UCAGUUCAUAAUGCGUUUAUUGACCAUAAUCUAGGGGGAAAGGAGAGGGAGGGCGUCUCCUUUCCCCCUAGAUUAUGGCCAAUAAACGCAUUGGUCCGUCGU
rnacentral:pre_miRNA from 1 species